CUGAACGCAAUGCGCACUACUUGCGUAACUUUUGACCUUGCCGGCGAGGUGGAAGCACUGAAUAGUAGAUCGAGAAGUGAGAAGUGAAAUUGUUUGCAAUGGAAGAGGAUCCUGACGGCUCUUGCAUUCUCAGUGAGGAUGAUAUGGAUCAGCCUCCGUUGAAAAGAUCAAAAACUAACAGUGAAAGACCUGAAUGUGAAUACUCUGGUGAUGGAGAUUCCCCUGGAAGUGAUUCUGAAUCUGAAGAAUGGCAAGAUGUUGAAGAUGGAAGUCCUGAAGAAUACAAACAAGAAACAGCAUUAACCUGUAAUGAACAACACAGUUGUCAAGGCAAGGUGCUGGAGAUCAAUAUUGAUAUCCCUGGAACUUCUCACAGCAGUGACAGAAAGUUCACAAGUAGUUAUGACUGGUCAAAGCAAAUCCAGUUGCAGGUCAACCGCUUUAACAAGGCUUUUCAGCUGCAACUUCACAAGGCAAGUACACCACCUAUGCCUU